rnacentral:rRNA from 1 species
AUUGAACGCUGGCGGAAUGCUUUACACAUGCGAGUCGAACGGCAGCACGGGGGCAGCCCUGGUGGCGAGUGGCGAACGGGUGAGUAAUACAUCGGAACGUGCCCGGUCGUGGGGGAUAACGUAGCGAAAGUUACGCUAAUACCGCAUACGAUCUGAGGAUGAAAGCGGGGGACCUUCGGGCCUCGCGCGAUCGGAGCGGCCGAUGUCAGUUUAGGUAGUUGGUGGGGUAAAGGCCUACCAAGCCGACGAUCUGUAGCUGGUCUGAGAGGACGAACAGCCACACUGGGACUGAGACACGGCCCAGACUCCUACGGGAGGCAGCGGUGGGGAAUUUUGGACAAUGGGCGCAAGCCUGAUCCAGCCAUGCCGCGUGCAGGACGAAGGCCUUCGGGUUGUAAACUGCUUUUGUACGGAACGAAAAGGCUCUGGCUAAUACCUGGGGCUCAUGACGGUACCGUAAGAAUAAGCACCGGCUAACUACGUG